GAUGAACGUUGGCGGCGUGCCUAAUACAUGCAAGUCGAGCGAACAGACGAGGAGCUUGCUCCUUCGACGUUAGCGGCGGACGGGUGAGUAACACGUGGGUAACCUACCUAUAAGACUGGGAUAACUUCGGGAAACCGGAGCUAAUACCGGAUAAUAUUUCGAACCGCAUGGUUCGAUAGUGAAAGAUGGCUUUGCUAUCACUUAUAGAUGGACCUGCGCCGUAUUAGCUAGUUGGUAAGGUAACGGCUUACCAAGGCAACGAUACGUAGCCGACCUGAGAGGGUGAUCGGCCACACUGGAACUGAGACACGGUCCAGACUCCUACGGGAGGCAGCAGUAGGGAAUCUUCCGCAAUGGGCGAAAGCCUGACGGAGCAACGCCGCGUGAGUGAUGAAGGUCUUCGGAUCGUAAAACUCUGUUAUUAGGGAAGAACAAACGUGUAAGUAACUGUGCACGUCUUGACGGUACCUAAUCAGAAAGCCACGGCUAACUACGUGCCAGCAGCCGCGGUAAUACGUAGGUGGCAAGCGUUAUCCGGAAUUAUUGGGCGUAAAGCGCGCGUAGGCGGUUUUUUAAGUCUGAUGUGAAAGCCCACGGCUCAACCGUGGAGGGUCAUUGGAAACUGGAAAACUUGAGUGCAGAAGAGGAAAGUGGAAUUCCAUGUGUAGCGGUGAAAUGCGCAGAGAUAUGGAGGAACACCAGUGGCGAAGGCGACUUUCUGGUCUGUAACUGACGCUGAUGUGCGAAAGCGUGGGGAUCAAACAGGAUUAGAUACCCUGGUAGUCCACGCCGUAAACGAUGAGUGCUAAGUGUUAGGGGGUUUCCGCCCCUUAGUGCUGCAGCUAACGCAUUAAGCACUCCGCCUGGGGAGUACGACCGCAAGGUUGAAACUCAAAGGAAUUGACGGGGACCCGCACAAGCAGUGGAGCAUGUGGUUUAAUUCGAAGCAACGCGAAGAACCUUACCAAAUCUUGACAUCCUUUGACCCUUCUAGAGAUAGAAGUUUCCCCUUCGGGGGACAAAGUGACAGGUGGUGCAUGGUUGUCGUCAGCUCGUGUCGUGAGAUGUUGGGUUAAGUCCCGCAACGAGCGCAACCCUUAAGCUUAGUUGCCAUCAUUAAGUUGGGCACUCUAAGUUGACUGCCGGUGACAAACCGGAGGAAGGUGGGGAUGACGUCAAAUCAUCAUGCCCCUUAUGAUUUGGGCUACACACGUGCUACAAUGGACAAUACAAAGGGCAGCGAAACCGCGAGGUCAAGCAAAUCCCAUAAAGUUGUUCUCAGUUCGGAUUGUAGUCUGCAACUCGACUACAUGAAGCUGGAAUCGCUAGUAAUCGUAGAUCAGCAUGCUACGGUGAAUACGUUCCCGGGUCU
rnacentral:rRNA from 1 species